UGAUUUUGCACGCACGUAUCCGCUCGCAUGUAAUAUGGCGAGAGGAAAGUCCGGACACCAUAUGGCAGAAUUCCACGUGAAAGCGUGGGCGUGUGAAACAUAUGUCACACGACGGAACAGUGCAACAGAAAGUAUACCGCCGCAAGGUAAGGGUGAAAUGGUGGGGUAAAAGCCCACCGGUGAGUUGGUAACAAUUCACGCAAGGCAAACCCAAUUCGGUGCAAGACGGAAUAGGAAGUCGAGUAGCCAGCUCAAUGACUUUGGGUUCGUCGCAUCUCCCAGGAGAAAUUCUGUAAAAUUUACAGGAUUAGAUAAAUGGAUACGGCGCCAACUGGCGAACAAAAUCCGGCUUACUGCAAAAUCACCCA
rnacentral:RNase_P_RNA from 1 species